UAACUACCAGCCAGCCAGCCAGCUGAAGACCUGCACACUACCCUUGACGUCACUUGGAAGGAAGACAGCAGAUGCCAAGGGAAACCCUGUGAGCCCUGCUAGCAAAGGAAAGAAUAAGGCAGCUUAAUGACAUCAAAAGAAACACGAAGAAAACUUACAACGUAAAGCACAUUGCUGAACCAGAGCCAAAGGAACUCUUCUUAUAAAUUACUCUUAGUAUGAGUCUCACACAUGCCCUCUGGCCACCAUUGGGAGUUAAUGGACUGUGGCAAUCAGACCAUGAGAACAACACCUCACCAGCGAGCAGAAUAUCUGGAUGCCUUAAAUUUAUAAUAUGAGACUUGUUAUAAGAUACAUUUUGGACCAUAUCUGUACAUAGAACUUGUUUGAUUUCUUUUUUAAUAUGCUGUUUGAAAACAUGAUCGGGCAAUGUAUGCAUUGACACAUUGGACAUUUGAUUGAGUCGACCUUCUUGAAGCACAUCCACCAGCACCUGACACGACUAGUGUUUUUGUGAAUUGCAUGAGGAUUUGCUGAUGUUGA
rnacentral:lncRNA from 1 species